GUGCCAGCCGCCGCGGUAAUACGGAGGAUGCAAGCGUUAUCCGGAUUCAUUGGGUUUAAAGGGUGCGUAGGCGGCUUUUUAAGUCAGUGGUGAAAUCCUGUCGCUUAACGAUAGAAUUGCCCAUUGAUACUGAGAAGCUUGAGUUCAGUUGAGGUAAGCGGAAUGUGUAGUGUAAGCGGUGAAAUGCUUAGAUAUUACACAGAACACCGAUUGCGAAGGCAGCUUACUAAACUGACACUGACGCUGAUGCACGAAAAGCGUGGGGAGCGAACAGGAUUAGAUACCCUGGUAGUCCACGCCGUAAAACGAUGCUCACUCGCUGUAUGCGAUACACAGUAUGCGGCCAAGCGAAAGCAUUAAGUGAGCCACCUGGGGAGUACGAUCGCAAGGUUGAAACUCAAAGGAAUUGACGGGGGCCCGCACAAGCGGAGGAACAUGUGGUUUAAUUCGAUGAUACGCGAGGAACCUUACCUGGGCUUAAAUGUAGAACGACAGCUUGUGAAAGCAGGCUUUCUUCGGACGUUUUACAAGGUGCUGCAUGGUUGUCGUCAGCUCGUGCCGUGAGGUGUCGGGUUAAGUCCCAUAACGAGCGCAACCCUUAUCGUUAGUUGCCAGCGGGUCAAGCCGGGGACUCUAGCGAGACUGCCACCGUAAGGUGUGAGGAAGGUGGGGAUGACGUCAAAUCAGCACGGCCCUUAUGUCCAGGGCUACACACGUGUUACAAUGGCCAAUACAAAGGGCAGCUACUCCGCGAGGAGAUGCUAAUCUCUAAAGUUGGUCUCAGUUCGGAUCGAAGUCUGCAACCCGACUUCGUGAAGCUGGAUUCGCUAGUAAUCGCGCAUCAGCCAUGGCGCGGUGAAUACGUUCCCGGGCCUUGUACACACCGCCCGUCAAACAAUGGAAGCUGGGGGUACCUGAAGUCUGUAACCGCAAGGAGCGGCCUAGGGUAAAACUAGUAACUGGUGUUAAGUCGUAACAAGGUAACC
rnacentral:rRNA from 1 species